rnacentral:rRNA from 2 species
GAGCCGGAGGGAAACCGAGUCUUAAUUGGGCGUUAAGUUGCAGGGUAUAGACCCGAAACCCGGUGAUCUAGCCAUGGGCAGGUUGAAGGUUGGGUAACACUAACUGGAGGACCGAACCGACUAAUGUUGAAAAAUUAGCGGAUGACCUGUGGCUGGGGGUGAAAGGCCAAUCAAACCGGGAGAUAGCUGGUUCUCCCCGAAAGCUAUUUAGGUAGCGCCUCGUGAAUUCAUCUCCGGGGGUAGAGCACUGUUUCGGCUAGGGGGCCAUCCCGGCUUACCAACCCGAUGCAAACUGCGAAUACCGGAGAAUGUUAUCACGGGAGACACACGGCGGGUGCUAACGUCCGUCGUGAAGAGGGAAACAACCCAGACCGCCAGCUAAGGUCCCAAAGUCAUGGUUAAGUGGGAAACGAUGUGGGAAGGCCCAGACAGCCAGGAUGUUGGCUUAGAAGCAGCCAUCAUUUAAAGAAAGCGUAAUAGCUCACUGGUCGAGUCGGCCUGCGCGGAAGAUGUAACGGGGCUAAACCAUGCACCGAAGCUGCGGCAGCGACACUGUGUGUUGUUGGGUAGGGGAGCGUUCUGUAAGCCUGUGAAGGUGUGUCGUGAGGCAUGCUGGAGGUAUCAGAAGUGCGAAUGCUGACAUAAGUAACGAUAAAGCGGGUGAAAAGCCCGCUCGCCGGAAGACCAAGGGUUCCUGUCCAACGUUAAUCGGGGCAGGGUGAGUCGACCCCUAAGGCGAGGCCGAAAGGCGUAGUCGAUGGGAAACGGGUUAAUAUUCCCGUACUUGGUGUUACUGCGAAGGGGGGACGGAGAAGGCUAUGUUGGCCGGGCGACGGUUGUCCCGGUUUAAGCGUGUAGGUGUGUGUUCCAGGUAAAUCCGGUUCACUUUAACACUGAGGCGUGACGACGAGGCACUACGGUGCUGAAGCAACAAAUGCCCUGCUUCCAGGAAAAGCCUCUAAGCAUCAGGUAACAUCAAAUCGUACCCCAAACCGACACAGGUGGUCAGGUAGAGAAUACCAAGGCGCUUGAGAGAACUCGGGUGAAGGAACUAGGCAAAAUGGUGCCGUAACUUCGGGAGAAGGCACGCUGACACGUAGGUGAAGUGAUUUACUCAUGGAGCUGAAGUCAGUCGAAGAUACCAGCUGGCUGCAACUGUUUAUUAAAAACACAGCACUGUGCAAACACGAAAGUGGACGUAUACGGUGUGACGCCUGCCCGGUGCCGGAAGGUUAAUUGAUGGGGUCAGCGCAAGCGAAGCUCCUGAUCGAAGCCCCGGUAAACGGCGGCCGUAACUAUAACGGUCCUAAGGUAGCGAAAUUCCUUGUCGGGUAAGUUCCGACCUGCACGAAUGGCGUAAUGAUGGCCAGGCUGUCUCCACCCGAGACUCAGUGAAAUUGAACUCGCUGUGAAGAUGCAGUGUACCCGCGGCAAGACGGAAAGACCCCGUGAACCUUUACUAUAGCUUGACACUGAACAUUGAGCCUUGAUGUGUAGGAUAGGUGGGAGGCUUUGAAGUGUGGACGCCAGUCUGCAUGGAGCCGACCUUGAAAUACCACCCUUUAAUGUUUGAUGUUCUAACGUGGACCCGUUACCCGGGUUGCGGACAGUGUCUGGUGGGUAGUUUGACUGGGGCGGUCUCCUCCUAAAGAGUAACGGAGGAGCACGAAGGUUGGCUAAUCCUGGUCGGACAUCAGGAGGUUAGUGCAAUGGCAUAAGCCAGCUUGACUGCGAGCGUGACGGCGCGAGCAGGUGCGAAAGCAGGUCAUAGUGAUCCGGUGGUUCUGAAUGGAAGGGCCAUCGCUCAACGGAUAAAAGGUACUCCGGGGAUAACAGGCUGAUACCGCCCAAGAGUUCAUAUCGACGGCGGUGUUUGGCACCUCGAUGUCGGCUCAUCACAUCCUGGGGCUGAAGUAGGUCCCAAGGGUAUGGCUGUUCGCCAUUUAAAGUGGUACGCGAGCUGGGUUUAGAACGUCGUGAGACAGUUCGGUCCCUAUCUGCCGUGGGCGCUGGAGAACUGAGGGGGGCUGCUCCUAGUACGAGAGGACCGGAGUGGACGCAUCACUGGUGUUCGGGUUGUCAUGCCAAUGGCACUGCCCGGUAGCUAAAUGCGGAAGAGAUAAGUGCUGAAAGCAUCUAAGCACGAAACUUGCCCCGAG